rnacentral:rRNA from 1 species
AUGAACGUUGGCGGCGUGUCUAAGGCAUGCAAGUCGAGGGACAGGCUUUGCUGUAGCAAUACAAUGAAGCACUGACCGGCAAACGGGUGAGUAACACAUUGGUAACCUACCUCCGAGACGGGGAUAGCUCGCCGAAAGGCGGAUUAAUACCCGAUAGUCUCCGACUUCCUAUGGAAGAUGGAGUAAAUGAAUCUCGCUCGGAGAGGGGCCUAUGGCUUAUCAGCUAGUUGGUAGGGUAAUGGCCUACCAAGGCUAUGACGAGUAGCAGGCGUGAGAGCGUGACCUGCCUCACUGGGACUGAGAUACUGCCCAGACUCCUACGGGAGGCUGCAGUCAAGAAUAUUCCGCAAUGGGGGAAACCCUGACGGAGCGACGCCGCGUGCAGGAAGAAGCCCUUCGGGGUGUAAACUGCUUUUAUGAGGGACGAAUUCGUGACGGUACCUUAUGAAUAAGAGGUUGCUAACUCUGU